rnacentral:rRNA from 1 species
GACGAACGCUGGCGGCGUGCCUAAUACAUGCAAGUAGAACGCUGAAGGAGGAGCUUGCUCUUCUGGAUGAGUUGCGAACGGGUGAGUAACGCGUAGGUAACCUGCCUUGUAGCGGGGGAUAACUAUUGGAAACGAUAGCUAAUACCGCAUAAGAGUAGAUGUUGCAUGACAUUUACUUAAAAGGUGCAAUUGCAUCACUACCAGAUGGACCUGCGUUGUAUUAGCUAGUUGGUGGGGUAACGGCUUACCAAGGCGACGAUACAUAGCCGACCUGAGAGGGUGGUCGGCCAGACUGGGACUGAGACACGGCCCAGACUCCUACGGGAGGCAGCAGUAGAGAAUCGUCGGCAAUGGACGGAAGUCUGACCGAGCAACGCCGCGUGAGUGAAGAAGGUUUUCGGAUCGUAAAGCUCUGUUGUAAGAGAAGAACGAGUGUGAGAGUGGAAAGUUCACACUGUGACGGUAACUGAUCAGAAAGGGACGGCUAACUACGUG